GGUGUCAUAGUAUAGUGGUCAGUACAUCACGUUGUGGAGUGAAUCAUUCUGCGACCACGGGCAAUACCGUGAAGACCCCGGUUCGAUUCCGGGUGACGCCA
rnacentral:tRNA from 1 species